AGUGAGCGGCAAAAGCUCAAAUUUGAAAUCUGGCUCUUUCAGUAGUCCGAGUUGUAAUUUGAAGAAGGUAUCUUUGGGUCUGGCUCUUGUCUAUGUUUCUUGGAACAGAACGUCACAGAGGGUGAGAAUCCCGUGCGAUGAGAUGAUCCAGGCCUAUGUAAAGUUCCUUCGAAGAGUCGAGUUGUUUGGGAAUGCAGCUCUAAGUGGGUGGUAAAUUCCAUCUAAAGCUAAAUAUUGGCGAGAGACCGAUAGCGAACAAGUACAGUGAUGGAAAGAUGAAAAGAACUUUGAAAAGAGAGUGAAAAAGUACGUGAAAUUGUUGAAAGGGAAGGGCUUGAGAUCAGACUUGGUAUUUUGUAUGUUACUUCUUCGGGGGUGGCCUCUACAGUUUAUCGGGCCAGCAUCAGUUUGGGCGGUAGGAGAAUUGCGUUGGAAUGUGGCACGGCUUCGGUUGUGUGUUAUAGCCUUCGUCGAUACUGCCAGCCUAGACUGAGGACUGCGGUUUAUACCUAGGAUGUUGGCAUAAUGAUCUUAAGUCGCCCGUCU
rnacentral:rRNA from 1 species